UGGGGAAUUUUGGACAAUGGGCGCAAGCCUGAUCCAGCCAUGCCGCGUGAGUGAAGAAGGCCUUCGGGUUGUAAAGCUCUUUUGUCAGGGAAGAAACGGUAGUAGCGAAUAACUACUACUAAUGACGGUACCUGAAGAAUAAGCACCGGCUAACUACGUGCCAGCAGCCGCGGUAAUACGUAGGGUGCAAGCGUUAAUCGGAAUUACUGGGCGUAAAGCGUGCGCAGGCGGUUGUGUAAGUCAGAUGUGAAAUCCCCGGGCUCAACCUGGGAAUUGCAUUUGAGACUGCACGGCUAGAGUGUGUCAGAGGGGGGUAGAAUUCCACGUGUAGCAGUGAAAUGCGUAGAUAUGUGGAGGAAUACCGAUGGCGAAGGCAGCCCCCUGGGAUAACACUGACGCUCAUGCACGAAAGCGUGGGGAGCAAACAGGAUUAGAUACCCCAGUAGUCCCUGAGCGGGCUGGCAAGGCGCAU
rnacentral:rRNA from 1 species